AAUGAAGUGCCUGAUCAAAGGGUUAUUUUGAUAGAAUAAAUCACGUAAAUCAACUUUACCUUCAUUA
rnacentral:tRNA from 1 species